UUAGGCGCCUCUUUUUGGCUUGCAGUCUACUAUGAAAGGCUGAAGAGAUAAAAAAAACAGAAGAGAAUGCCAUUGCAGUCGACAGGAGUUAGACAUUCACCAUGAGGUGAUGAUGCUUUCCUGUUGUUGUAAGCAUCAAUUAUAUCAUGCAGACAUAGAUCACACAUAGAUGCCUUGUGUAUUGUUUCCGUGGCAUGAUUGACAAGUUGUGAACACCUUCCCUAGCCUUAUUGUUGAUUGGAAUGUUUGUGUUUCAUGAUCAAGAUUAACAGCUUGCGUGGAAGGGCAGUUUCUCUUCUGGUUUACUAUUUGUUUCUUACGGUUCAAUUCCAUUGUACCACAAGUCCAACAACCACCAACUACAUCUUGCCUUGGGAGUUUCAGUUCCAGCUUAAUUAGCAGGUUCGCCAGUUCACCGGCGACUCAAAAAGUCAAAA